GGCUUUGUAGCUCAAUCGGUAGAGCAUCGGGUUGUCAGUCCGAAGGUAGCGGGAUCGUAACCCGUCAGAGUCAC
rnacentral:tRNA from 1 species